rnacentral:rRNA from 1 species
UUAAGCGACUAAGCGUACACGGUGGAUGCCCUGGCAGUCAGAGGCGAUGAAGGACGUGCUAAUCUGCGAUAAGCGUCGGUAAGGUGAUAUGAACCGUUAUAACCGGCGAUUUCCGAAUGGGGAAACCCAGUGUGUUUCGACACACUAUCAUUAACUUAAUCCAUAGGUUAAUGAGGCGAACCGGGGGAACUGAAACAUCUAAGUACCCCGAGGAAAAGAAAUCAACCGAGAUUCCCCCAGUAGCGGCGAGCGAACGGGGAGCAGCCCAGAGCCUGAAUCAGUGUGUGUGUUAGUGGAAGCGUCUGGAAAGGCGCGCGAUACAGGGUGACAGCCCCGUACACAAAAAUGCACAUGCUGUGAGCUCGAUGAGUAGGGCGGGACACGUGGUAUCCUGUCUGAAUAUGGGGGGACCAUCCUCCAAGGCUAAAUACUCCUGACUGACCGAUAGUGAACCAGUACCGUGAGGGAAAGGCGAAAAGAACCCCGGCGAGGGGAGUGAAAAAGAACCUGAAACCGUGUACGUACAAGCAGUGGGAGCACGCUUAGGCGUGUGACUGCGUACCUUUUGUAUAAUGGGUCAGCGACUUAUAUUCUGUAGCAAGGUUAACCGAAUAGGGGAGCCGAAGGGAAACCGAGUCUUAACUGGGCGUUAAGUUGCAGGGUAUAGACCCGAAACCCGGUGAUCUAGCCAUGGGCAGGUUGAAGGUUGGGUAACACUAACUGGAGGACCGAACCGACUAAUGUUGAAAAAUUAGCGGAUGACUUGUGGCUGGGGGUGAAAGGCCAAUCAAACCGGGAGAUAGCUGGUUCUCCCCGAAAGCUAUUUAGGUAGCGCCUCGUGAACUCAUCUCCGGGGGUAGAGCACUGUUUCGGCAAGGGGGUCAUCCCGACUUACCAACCCGAUGCAAACUGCGAAUACCGGAGAAUGUUAUCACGGGAGACACACGGCGGGUGCUAACGUCCGUCGUGAAGAGGGAAACAACCCAGACCGCCAGCUAAGGUCCCAAAGUCAUGGUUAAGUGGGAAACGAUGUGGGAAGGCCCAGACAGCCAGGAUGUUGGCUUAGAAGCAGCCAUCAUUUAAAGAAAGCGUAAUAGCUCACUGGUCGAGUCGGCCUGCGCGGAAGAUGUAACGGGGCUAAACCAUGCACCGAAGCUGCGGCAGCGACGCUGAUGCGUUGUUGGGUAGGGGAGCGUUCUGUAAGCCUGCGAAGGUGUGCUGUGAGGCAUGCUGGAGGUAUCAGAAGUGCGAAUGCUGACAUAAGUAACGAUAAAGCGGGUGAAAAGCCCGCUCGCCGGAAGACCAAGGGUUCCUGUCCAACGUUAAUCGGGGCAGGGUGAGUCGACCCCUAAGGCGAGGCCGAAAGGCGUAGUCGAUGGGAAACAGGUUAAUAUUCCUGUACUUGGUGUUACUGCGAAGGGGGGACGGAGAAGGCUAUGUUGGCCGGGCGACGGUUGUCCCGGUUUAAGCGUGUAGGCUGGUUUUCCAGGCAAAUCCGGAAAAUCAAGGCUGAGGCGUGAUGACGAGGCACUACGGUGCUGAAGCAACAAAUGCCCUGCUUCCAGGAAAAGCCUCUAAGCAUCAGGUAACAUCAAAUCGUACCCCAAACCGACACAGGUGGUCAGGUAGAGAAUACCAAGGCGCUUGAGAGAACUCGGGUGAAGGAACUAGGCAAAAUGGUGCCGUAACUUCGGGAGAAGGCACGCUGAUAUGUAGGUGAAGUCCCUUGCGGAUGGAGCUGAAAUCAGUCGAAGAUACCAGCUGGCUGCAACUGUUUAUUAAAAACACAGCACUGUGCAAACACGAAAGUGGACGUAUACGGUGUGACGCCUGCCCGGUGCCGGAAGGUUAAUUGAUGGGGUCAGCGCAAGCGAAGCUCUUGAUCGAAGCCCCGGUAAACGGCGGCCGUAACUAUAACGGUCCUAAGGUAGCGAAAUUCCUUGUCGGGUAAGUUCCGACCUGCACGAAUGGCGUAAUGAUGGCCAGGCUGUCUCCACCCGAGACUCAGUGAAAUUGAACUCGCUGUGAAGAUGCAGUGUACCCGCGGCAAGACGGAAAGACCCCGUGAACCUUUACUAUAGCUUGACACUGAACAUUGAGCCUUGAUGUGUAGGAUAGGUGGGAGGCUUGGAAGUGUGGACGCCAGUCUGCAUGGAGCCGACCUUGAAAUACCACCCUUUAAUGUUUGAUGUUCUAACGUUGACCCGUAAUCCGGGUUGCGGACAGUGUCUGGUGGGUAGUUUGACUGGGGCGGUCUCCUCCUAAAGAGUAACGGAGGAGCACGAAGGUUGGCUAAUCCUGGUCGGACAUCAGGAGGUUAGUGCAAUGGCAUAAGCCAGCUUGACUGCGAGCGUGACGGCGCGAGCAGGUGCGAAAGCAGGUCAUAGUGAUCCGGUGGUUCUGAAUGGAAGGGCCAUCGCUCAACGGAUAAAAGGUACUCCGGGGAUAACAGGCUGAUACCGCCCAAGAGUUCAUAUCGACGGCGGUGUUUGGCACCUCGAUGUCGGCUCAUCACAUCCUGGGGCUGAAGUAGGUCCCAAGGGUAUGGCUGUUCGCCAUUUAAAGUGGUACGCGAGCUGGGUUUAGAACGUCGUGAGACAGUUCGGUCCCUAUCUGCCGUGGGCGCUGGAGAACUGAGGGGGGCUGCUCCUAGUACGAGAGGACCGGAGUGGACGCAUCACUGGUGUUCGGGUUGUCAUGCCAAUGGCACUGCCCGGUAGCUAAAUGCGGAAGAGAUAAGUGCUGAAAGCACCUAAGCACGAAACUUGCCCCGAGAUGAGUUCUCCCUGACCCUUUAAGGGUCCUGAAGGAACGUUGAAGACGACGACGUUGAUAGGCCGGGUGUGUAAGCGCAGCGAUGCGUUGAGCUAACCGGUACUAAUGAACCGUGAGGCUUAACCUU